AGAGUUUGAUCCUGGCUCAGAUUGAACGCUGGCGGCAGGCCUAAGACAUGCAAGUCGAGCGAGAAAGCCCUUCGGGGUGAGUACAGCGGCGGACGGGUGAGUAACGCGUAGGAAUCUACCCAGUAGUGGGGGACAACUAGUGGAAACGCUAGCUAAUACCGCAUACGCCCUAAGGGGGAAAGCGGGGGAUCUUCGGACCUCGUGCUAUUGGAUGAGCCUGCGUAAGAUUAGCUUGUUGGUGAGGUAAUGGCUCACCAAGGCUACGAUCUUUAGCUGGUCUGAGAGGAUGAUCAGCCACACCGGGACUGAGACACGGCCCGGACUCCUACGGGAGGCAGCAGUCGGGAAUAUUGCGCAAUGGGGGAAACCCUGACGCAGCCAUGCCGCGUGUGUGAAGAAGGCCUUAGGGUUGUAAAGCACUUUCAAUUGGGAGGAAAAGCUAAUGGUUAAUAGCCAUUAGCCCUGACGUUACCUUUAGAAGAAGCACCGGCUAACUCCGUGCCAGCAGCCGCGGUAAUACGGAGGGUGCAAGCGUUAAUCGGAAUUACUGGGCGUAAAGCGCGCGUAGGCGGCUCUUUAAGUCGGAUGUGAAAGCCCCGGGCUCAACCUGGGAACUGCAUCCGAUACUGGAGGGCUAGAGUGUAGGAGAGGGAGGUAGAAUUCCAUGUGUAGCAGUGAAAUGCGUAGAUAUAUGGAGGAAUACCAGUGGCGAAGGCGGCCUCCUGGCUUAACACUGACGCUGAGGUGCGAAAGCGUGGGGAGCAAACGGGAUUAGAUACCCCGGUAGUCCACGCCGUAAACGAUGUCUACUAGUUGUAGGGGUACUUGAGACCUUUGUAGCGCAGCUAACGCAAUAAGUAGACCGCCUGGGGAGUACGGCCGCAAGGUUAAAACUCAAAUGAAUUGACGGGGGCCCGCACAAGCAGUGGAGCAUGUGGUUUAAUUCGAUGCAACGCGAAGAACCUUACCAGGCCUUGACAUCCCCGGAACUUUCUAGAGAUAGAUUGGUGCCUUCGGGAACCGGGUGACAGGUGCUGCAUGGCUGUCGUCAGCUCGUGUCGUGAGAUGUUGGGUUAAGUCCCGUAACGAGCGCAACCCUUGUCCUUAGUUGCCAGCACAUAAUGGUGGGAACUCUAAGGAGACUGCCGGUGACAAACCGGAGGAAGGUGGGGACGACGUCAAGUCAUCAUGGCCCUUACGGCCUGGGCUACACACGUGCUACAAUGGCUAGGACAGACGGCUGCAAACCAGCGAUGGGGAGCUAAUCCGACAAACCUAGUCGUAGUCCGGAUUGGAGUCUGCAACUCGACUCCAUGAAGUCGGAAUUGCUAGUAAUCGCGAAUCAGAAUGUCGCGGUGAAUACGUUCCCGGGCCUUGUACACACCGCCCGUCACACCAUGGGAGUGGGUUGCUCCAGAAGUGGUUAGUCUAACCUUCGGGAGGACGAUCACCACGGAGUGAUUCAUGACUGGGGUGAAGUCGUAACAAGGUAACC
rnacentral:rRNA from 1 species